rnacentral:rRNA from 1 species
UACGAAGGGGGCUAGCGUUGUUCGGAAUUACUGGGCGUAAAGCGCGCGCAGGCGGCUAUCCAAGUCAGUGGUGAAAGCCCGGAGCUCAACUCCGGAACUGCCAUUGAAACUGUUUAGCUUGAGGAUGAGAGAGGUGAGUGGAAUUCCCGGUGUAGAGGUGAAAUUCGUAGAUAUUGGGAAGAACACCGGUGGCGAAGGCGGCUCACUGGCUCAUUACUGACGCUCAGGCGCGAUAGCGUGGGGAUCAAACAGG